UCCCUGAUAACUCAGUUGGUAAAGAAUCUGCCUGCAAUGCAGGAGACCCCGGUUUGAUUCCUGGGUUGGGAA
rfam:TPA: Bos taurus chromosome 11, whole genome shotgun sequence.